CCAAUGAUUAUGAUAGGGUUUUUCGUAUUGUUUUUAUGAGAUUGAGAUGUUUGUUAGGAUUAUGAGGAUCUCACAAUAAUACAGGUGGUGCUAAUGUAACAUUGGAAAAAUGAUUGAGUUGGUUUCCUUUGAUACAUACAGUCUCAUUUUCAUUUUCUUGUAAUUAUUCUAUUUUCCUUUUUUCUUUUUCAUUUUCUUGUAAUUAUUCUUUUUUCUUUUUCAUUUUCUACUUAUAAUUAGUAUUUUAGCAUAUUUUUUAAUCUGUAUAACUUAUGUUAAAUGUUUAAUUAUCAGAAUAUAGAAGAUGACAUUUUAUGUUCUUAAGGAUAUAAGUAUAUAUUUAAUUAAUUUUGAUGUUCAAUACAUAUCUUUCUAAACUAUUUAAUGUCAAUGUUUGUUACUCAUUACAUGUUUGAUUGAUUUAUAUAAUUGAGGAUGUACUUAAUAGAAAUAUUUAGCUUACAUUAUUUAAUAGAAAUCUCUGGUUCAUAAUCACUUUAUGAUUGUAUAAACAAAAUACAAAGGGUAAAAAAAUACGUACUGCUGAAAAAUUGUCAUAUUUUCUUUUUUUUCUAUCUUUUAUGAGUAAUUUUCAUUCUUAUCUAUCAAAUGUACAGAUCAAGUGAUUUCUGAUAUAGGUUGAUCUUUUGAAGGUUACACAUCUCUACCUUUUUUAUUUUGUCACCCUAUUCAUUUGUGUUUCCUCUUAUUUUCAAUUUUAUUCUUGCGUCACCAAUGAUUAUGAUAGGGUUUUUCGUAUUGUUUUGAUGAGAUUGAGAUGUUUGUUAGGAUUAUGAGGAUCUCACAAUAAUACAGGUGGUGCUAAUGUAACACUGGAAAAAUGAUUGAGUUGGUUUCCUUUAAUACAUACAGUCUCAUUUUCAUUUUCUUGUAAUUAUUCUAUUUUCCUUUUUUCUUUUUCAUUUUCUUGUAAUUAUUCUUAUUUCUUUUUUCUUUUUCAUUUUCUACUUAUAAUUAGUAUUUUAGACUAUUUUUUUAUCUGUGUAACUUAUGUUAAUUGUUUAAUUAAUAGAAUAUAGAAGAUGACAUUUAUUGUUCUUAAGGAUAUAAGUAUAUAUUUAAUUAAUUUUGAUGUUUAAUACAUAUCUUUCUAAACUAUUUAAUGUCAAUGUUUGUUACUCAUUACAUGUUUGAUUGAUUUAUAUAAUUGAGGAUGUACUUAUAACAAAUACUUAGCUGAAAUUACUUAAUAGAAAUCUCUGGUUCAUAAUAAGUUUAAGAUUGUAUAAACAAAAUACAAAGGGUAAAAAAAUACGUACAUCUGAAAAAUUGUCAUAUUUUCCUUUUUAUUCUAUCAUUUAUGAGUAAUUUUCUUUCUUAUCUAUCAAAUGUACGGAUCAAGUGAUUUCUAAUAUAGGUUAAUCUUUUGAAGGUUAUACAUCUCUCAAUCGUUUAUUUUGUCACUCUAUUCAUUUGUGUUUCCUGUUAUUUCCAAUUUUAUUCUUGCAUCACCAAUGAUUAUGAUAGGGUUUUUCGUAUUGUUUUGAUGAGAUUGAGAUUUUUGUUAGGAUAUACUCCUAGAGUGUUAUUAUUUGCACCACGAUCACAUUGUGACCUUUACUGAUUGAGUUGGUUUCCUUUAUACCAUACAGUCUCAUUAUAAGCUUGUUGUUAUUAUUCUUUUUUCUUUUUUUCUUUUUCAUUUUCUAGUAAUUAAUUUAUCUUAUUUUUUUCUUUUUCAUUUUCUACUUAUAAUUAGUAUUUUAGCAUAUUUUUUAAUUUGUAUAAGUUAUGUUAAUUGUUUAAUUAUCAGAAUAUAGAAGAUGACAUUUUACGGUCCUAAGGAUAUAAGUAUAUAUUUAAUUAAUUUUGAUGUUCAAAACAUAUCUUUCUAAACUAAUUAAUGUCAAGGUUUAUUACUCAUUACAUGUUUGAUUGAUUUAUAUAAUCGAGGAUGUACUUAUUAGCAAUAUUUAGCUUACAUUAUUUAAUAGAAAUUUCUGGUUCAUAUUCACUUUAUGAUUGUAUAAACAAAAUACAAAGGGUAAAAAAAUACGUACUGCUGAAAAAUUGUCAUAUUUUCUUUUUUUUUCUAUCUUUUAUGAGUAAUUUUCCUUCUUAUCUAUCAAAUGUAUAGAUCAAGUGAUUUCUGAUAUAGGUUGAUCUUUUGAAGGUCACACAUCUCUACCUUUUUUAUUUUGACACCCUAUUCAUCUGUGUUUCCUCUUAUUUGCAAUUUUAUUCUUGCAACACCAAUGAUUAUGACAGGGUUUUUCGUAUUGUUUUUAUGAGAUUGAGAUGUUAGUUAGGAUUAUGAGGAUCUCACAAUAAUACAGGUGGUGCUAAUGUAACACUGGAAAAACGAUUGAGUUGGUUUCCUUUAAUACAUACAGUCUCAUUUUCAUUUUCUUGUAAUUAUUCUAUUUUCCUUUUUUCUUUUUCUUUUUCUUGUAAUUAUUCUUUUUUCUUUUUUUCUUUUUCAUUUUCUAAUUAUAAUUAUUAUUUUAGCAUAUUUUUUAAUUUGUGUAACUUAUCUUAAUUGUUUAAUUAUCAGAAUAUAGAAGAUGACAUUUUAUGUUCUUAAGGAUAUAAGUAUAUAUUUAAUUAAUUUUGAUGUUCAAUACAUAUCUCUCUAAACUAUUUAAUGUCAAUGUUUUUUACUCAUUACAUGUUUGAUUGAUUUAUAUGAAUGGGGAUGUACUUAAUGAAAAUAUUUUGCUUACAUUAUUUAAUAGAAAUCUUUGGUUCAUAUUCACUUUAUGAUUGUAUAAACAAAAUACCAAGGGUAAAAAAAUACGUACUGCUGAAAAAUUGUCAAAUUAUCUUUUUUUUCUAUCUUUUAUGAGUAUUUUUCAUUCUUAUCUAUCAAAUGUACAGAUCAUGUGAUUUCUGAUAUAGGUUGUUCUUUUGAAGGUUACACAUCUCUACCUUUUUUAUUUUGUCACCCUAUUCAUCUGUGUUUCCUCUUAUUUUCAAUUUUAUUCUUGCGUCACCAAUGAUUAUGAUAGGGUUUUUCGUAUUGUUUUGAUGAGAUUGAGAUGUUUGUUAGGAUUAUGAGGAUCUCACAAUAAUACAGGUGGUGCUAAUGUAACACUGGAANCAAUUAACAUAAGUUACACAGAUUAAAAAUAUGCUAAAAUACUAAUUAUAAGUGGAAAAUGAAAAAGAAAAGAAAAAAGAAAUAAUUACAAGAAAUGAAAAAGAAAAAAGGAAAAUAGAAUAAUUACAAGAAAAUGAAAAUGGAGACUGUAUGUAUUAAAGGAAACCAACUCAAUCAUUUUUCCAGUGUACAUUAGCACCACCUGUAUUAUUUGUGAGAUCCUCAUAAUCCUAACAAAACAUCUCAAUCUCAUCAAAACAAUACGAAAAACCCUUCAUAAUCAUUGGUGUGCAAGAAUAAAAUUGAAAAUAAGAGGAAACACAGAAAUGAAUAGGGUGACAAAAUUAAAAAAGGUAGAGAUGUGUGAACCUUCAAAAGAUCAACCUAUAUCAGAAAUCACUUGAUCUGUAAAUUGAUAGAUAAGAAGAAAAUUACUCAUAAAAUAGAAAAAAAAGAAAAUAUGACAAUUUUUCAGCAGUACGGAUUUUUUUACCCUUUGUAUUUUGUUAUACAAUCAUAAAUGAAUAUGAACAGAGAUUUCUAUUAAAUAAUGUAAGCUAAAUAUUUCUAAUAAGUACAUCCUCAAUUAUAUAAAUCAAUCAAACGUAAUGAGUAACAAACCUUGACAUUAAGUGUUAGAAGAUAUGUAUGAACAUCAAAAUUAAUUAAAUAUAUACUUAUUACCGUAAGAACAUAAAAUGUCAUCUUCUAUAUUUGAUAAUUAAACAAUUAACAUAAUUAUACAGAUAAAAAUAUGCUAAAAUACUAAUUAUAAUGAGAAAAUGAAAAAGAAAAAAUAAAAUAAAGUAAUUACAAGACCAAAAGAAAAGAAAAAAAAGAAAAAGAAUAAUACAACAAAUUAAAUGAGACGUAUGGUAUAAAGGAAACCAACUCAAUCAAGUUUUCCAGUGUUACACUAGCACCACGUUAUUAUUUUGAGGAUCCUCAUAAUCCUAACAAAAUCUCAAUCUCAUCAAAACAAUACGAAAAAAAACCUAUCAUAAUCAUUGGUGAUGCAAGAAUAAAAUUGAAAAUAAACAGGAAACACAAAUGAAUAGAGUGACAAAAUAAAACAAAGUAGAGAUGUAAACCUUCAAAGAUGAAACUAUAUAGAAAUCACUUUAAUCCGUUACAUUUGAUAGAUAAGAAAAAUACUCAUAAAAGAUAGAAAAAAAAGGAAAAUAUGACAAUUUUUCAGCAGUACAUAUUUUUUUACCCUUUGUAUUUGUUUAUACAAUCUAAACUGAUUGAUGAACCAGAGAUUUCUAUUAAGUUGUAAGCUAAAUAUUUGUAUUAAGUACAUCCUCAAUUAUAUAAUCAUUCAAACAGUAAUGAGUAACAAAACAUUGACAUUAAAUAGUUUAGAAAGAUAUGUAUUGAACAUCAAAUUAAUAUAAUAUAUUACUUAUAUCCUUAAGAACAUAAAAUGUCAUCUUCUAUAUUCGAUAAUUAAACAAUUAACAUAAGUUACACGAAUUAAAAAAUAUGCUAAAAUACUAAUUAAAGUAGAAAUGAAAAAGAAGAAGAAAAAGAAUAAUUACAAGAAAAUGAAAAAAAGAAAAAAGGAAAAUAGAAUAAUUACAAGAAAAUGAAAAUGAGACUGUAUGUAUUAAAGGAAACCAACUCAAUCAUUUUUCAGUGUUACAUUAGCACCACCUGUAUUAUUGUGAGAUCCUCAUAAUCCUAAACAACAUCUCAAUCUCAUCAAAAACAAUACGAAAAACCCUAUCAUAAUCAUUGGUGACGCAAGAAUAAAAUUGAAAUAAGAGGAAACACAAAUGAAUAGGGUGACAAAUAAAAAAGGUAGAGAUGUGUAACCUUCAAAAGAUCAACCAUAUCAGAAAUCACUUGAUCUGUACAUUUGAUAGAUAAGAAUGAAAAUUACUCAUAAAAAUAGAAAAAAAGAAAAUAUGACAAUUUUUCAGCAGUAACGUAUUUUUUUACCCUUUGUAUUUUGUUUAUACAAUCAUAAAUGAAUAUGAACCAGAAUUCAUUAAAUAAUGUAAGCUAAAUAUUUUCUAAUAAGUACAUCCUCAUUAUAUAAAUCAAUCAAACUGUAAUGAGUAACAAACCUUGACAUUUAAUGUUUAGAAAGAUAUGUAUUGAACACAAAUAAUUAAAUUAUACUUAUAACCUUAAGAACAUAAAAUGUCAUCUUCUAUAUUUGAUAAUUAAACAAUUAACAUAAGUUAUACAGAAUUAAAAAUAUGCUAAAUACUAAUUAUAAUAGAAAUGAAAAAAAAGAAAAAAAUAAGAAUAAUUACAAGAAAAUGAAAAGAAAAAAAGAAAUAGAAUAAUAACAACAAAUUUAAAUGAGACCGUUAUGGUAUAAAGGAAACCACUCAAUAGUUUCCAGUGUUACACUAGCACCACGUUAUUAUUUUGAGACCUCAUAAUCCUAACAAAAAAUCUCAUCUCAUCAAAACAAUACGAAAAACCCUAUCAUAAUCAUGGUGGAUGCAAGAAUAAAAAUGAAAUAACAGGAAACACAAAUAAUAGAGUGACAAAAUAAACAAGUUAGAGAUGUAUAACCUUCAAAGAUAACCUAUAUCAGAAAUCACUUGAUCUGUACAUUGAUAGAUAAGAAAGAAAAUUACUCAUAAAAGAUAGAAAAAAAGAAAAAAUAUGACAAAUUUUCAGCAUACGUAUUUUUUUACCCUUUGUAUGUUUGUUUAUACAAUCAUAAAUUGAUAUGAACAGAGAUUUCUAUUAAGAAUGUAAGCAAAUAUUGUUUAUAAGUACAUCCUCAAUUAUAUAAAUCAAUCAACAUGUAAUGAGUAACAAACAUUGACAAUAAAUAGUUUAGAAAGAUAUGUAUUGAACAUCAAAAUUAAUUAAAUAUAUACUUAUAUCCUUAGAACAUAAAAUGUCAUCUUCUAUAUUUUGAUAAUUAAACAAUUAACAUAAGUUCAUACAGAUUAAAAAAUAUGCUAAAUACUAAUUAUAAUAGAAAAUGAAAAAAAAAAGAAAAAGAAUAAUUAAAAAAAUGAAAAAGAAAAAAGAAAAUAGAAUAAAACAAAAAUGAAAUGAGACCGUAUGUAUUAAAGGAAACCACUCAAUAUUUUCCAGUGUUACAUAGCACCCACGUUUAUUAUUGUGAGAUCCUCAUAAUCCUAACAAAAAUCUCAAUCUCAUCAAAACAAUACGAAAAACCCUAUCAUAAUCAUUGGUGAGCAAGAAUAAAUAAAAUAAAGGAAACACAAAUGAAUAGGUGACAAAAUAAAACAAGUUUAGAGAUGUUAACCUUCAAAGUAACCUAUAUCAGAAAUCACUAUUCCGUACAUUGAGUAGAUAAGAAAAAAUUACUCAUAAAAGAUAGAAAAAAAAGAAAAUAUGACAAUUUUCAGCAAGUACAUAUUUUUUUACCCUUUGUAUUUUGUUUAUACAAUCAAUAAUGAUUAUGAACCAAGAUUUCUAUUUAAUAAUGAAGCUAAAUAUUUUAUUAAGUACAUCCUCAUUAUAUAAAUCAAUCAAACAUGUAAUGAGUAACAAACAUUGACAUUAAAUAGUUUAGAAAGAUAUGUAUUGAACAUCAAAAUUAAUUAAAUAUAUACUUAUAUCCUUAGAACAUAAAAUGUCAUCUUUCUAUAUUCUGAUAAUAAACAAUUAACAUAAGUUACACAGAUUAAAAAUAUGCUAAAAUACUAAUUAUAAGUUAGAAAUGAAAAAGAAAAGAAAAAGAAUAAUUACAAGAAAAUGAAAAAGAAAAAAGAAAAUAGAAUAAUUACAAGAAAAUGAAAAUGAGACUGUAUGUAUUAAAGGAACCAACUCAAUCAUUUUUCCAUGUACAUUACCACCUGUAUUAUUGUGAGAUCCUCAUAAUCUACAAAAACAUCUCAAUCUCAUCAAAACAUACGAAAAAACCCGUAUCAUAAUCAUUGGUGAGCAAGAAUAAAAUUGAAAAAUAAGAGGAAACACAGAUGAAUAGGGUGCACAAAAUAAAAAAGUAGAGAUGUUGUAACCUUCAAAAGAUCAAACCUAUAUCAGAAAUCACUUUAUCGUACAUUUGAUAGAUUAAGAAGAAAAUUACUCAUAUAAAAAUAGAAAAAAAGAAAAUAUGACAAUUUUUCAGCAGUACUGUAUUUUUUUACCCUUUGUAUUUUGUUUAUACAAUCAUAAAGUGAAUAUGAACCAGAGAUUUCUAUUAAAGUAAUGUAAGCUAAAUAUUUCUAAUAAGUACAUCCUCAAUUAUAUAAACAAUCAAACGUGUAAUGAGUAAAAAACCUUGACAUUAAUUAGUUUAGAAAGAUAUGUAUUGAACAUCAAAAAUUAAUUAAUAUAUACUUAUCCUUAAGAACUAAAAUGUCAUCUUCUAUAUUCUGAUAAUUAACAAUUAACAUAGUUAUAGCAAUAAAAAAAUAUGCUAAAUACUAAUUAUAAUAGAAAAUGAAAAAGAAAAAUAAAAUACAUAAUACAAGAAAAUGAAAAAGAAAAAAAAAAAAUGAAUAAUAACAACAAAUUGUAAAAUGAGACCGUAUGGUAUAAAGGAAACCAACUCAAUAGUUUUCCAGUGUUACACUUAGCACCACGUUUAUUAUUGUGAGAUCCUCAUAAUCCUAACAAAAAUCUCAAUCUCAUCAAAACAAUACGAAAACCCUAUCAUAAUCAUUGGUGAUGCAGAAUAAAUUGAAAAUAACAGGAAACACAAAUGAAUAGAGUGACAAAAUAAACAGUUGUGAGAUGGUAUAACCUUCAAAAAGAUACCUAUAUCAGAAAUCACUUAAUCCGUUCAUUUGAUAGAUAAGAAAAAAUUACUCAUAAAAGAUAGAAAAAAAGGAAAAUAUUGACAUUUUCAGCAUACGUAUUUUUUUACCCUUGUAUUUUUUUAUACAAUCAUAAACUUAUUAUGAACCAGAGAUUUCUAUUAAGUAUGUAGCUAAAUAUUGUAUUAAGUACAUCCUCAAUUAUUAUAAAUCAAUCAAACAUGUAAUGAGUAACAAACAUGACAUUUAAUAGUUUAGAAAGAUAUGUAUUGAACAUCAAAAUUAAUUAAAUAUAUACUUAUAUCCUUAAGAACAUAAAAUGUCAUCUUCUAUAUCUGAUAAUAAACAAUUACAUAAGUUACACAGAUAAAAAAUAUGCUAAAAUACUAAUUAUAAGUAGAAAAUGAAAAAAAAAGAAAAAAGAAUAAUACAAGAAAUGAAAAAGAAAAAGGAAAAAUAGAAUAAUUACAAGAAAAUGAAAAUGAGACUGUAUGUAUUAAAGGAAACCAACUCAAUCAUUUUUCCAGUGUUACAUUAGCACCACCUGUAUUAUUGUGAGAUCUCAUAAUCCUAACAAACAUCUCAAUCUCAUCAAAACAAUACGAAAAACCCUAUCAUAAUCAUUGGUGACGCAAGAAUAAAAUUGAAAAUAAGAGGAAACACAAUGAAUAGGGUGACAAAAUAAAAAAGGUAGAGAUGUGUAACCUUCAAAGAUCAACCUAUAUCAGAAAUCACUUGAUCUGUACAUUUGAUAGAUAAGAAUGAAAAUUACUCAUAAAAAUAGAAAAAAAGAAAAUAUGACAAUUUUCAGCAGUACGUAUUUUUUUACCCUUUGUAUUUGUUUAUAAAUCAUAAAGUGAAUAUGAACCAGAGGAUUCUAUUAAUAAUGUAAGCUAAAUAUUUCUAAUAAGUACAUCUCAUUAUAUAAAUCAAUCAAACUGUUAAUGAGUAAAAACCUUGACAUUAAUUAGUUUAGAAGAGUAUGUAUUGAACAUCAAAAUUAAUUAAAUAUAUACUUAUACCUUAGAACAUAAAAUGUCAUCUUCUAUAUUGCUGAUAAUUAAACAUUAACAUAAGUUAUACAGAUUAAAAAAAUAUGCUAAAAUAACUAAUUAUACUAGAAAAUGAAAAAAAAAAAAAAAUAGAAUAAUUCAACAAAAUGAAAAGAAAAAAGAAAAAUAGAAAUAAUCAACAAAUUAAAUGAGACCGUAUGGUAUAAAGCGGAAAAAACCAGCUUCAAUAAGUUUUCCAGUGUUACACUAGCACCACGUUUAUUUUAUGUUCUUAAGGAUAUAAGUAUAUAUUUAAUUAAUUUUGAUGUUUAAUACAUAUCUUUCUAAACUAUUUAAUGUCAAUGUUUGUUACUCAUUACAUGUUUGAUUGAUUUAUAUAAUUGAGGAUGUACUUAUAACAAAUAUUUAGCUGAAAUUACUUAAUAGAAAUCUCUGGUUCAUAAUAAGUUUAAGAUUGUAUAAACAAAAUACAAAGGGUAAAAAAAUACGUACAUCUGAAAAAUUGUCAUAUUUUCCUUUUUAUCUUAUCUUUUAUGAGUAAUUUUAUUUCUUAUCUAUCAAAUGUACGGAUCAAGUGAUUUCUAAUAUAGGUUAAUCUUUUGAAGGUUAUACAUCUCUCAAUCGUUUAUUUUGUCACUCUAUUCAUUUGUGUUUCCUGUUAUUUUCAAUUUUAUUCUUGCAUCACCAAUGAUUAUGAUAGGGUUUUUCGUAUUGUUUUGAUGAGAUUGAGAUUUUUGUUAGGUCUAUGAGGAUCUCACAAUAAUAAACGUGGUGCUAGUGUAACACUGAUUUUCAAUUUUAUUCUUGCAUCACCAAUGAUUAUGAUAGGGUUUUUCGUAUUGUUUUGAUGAGAUUGAGAUUUUUGUUAGGUCUAUGAGGAUCUCACAAUAAUAAACGUGGUGCUAGUGUAACACUGAAAAACUGAUUGAGUUGGUUUCCUUUAUACCAUACAGUCUCAUUAUAAGGGUGUUGUUAUUAUUCUAUUUUCCUUUUUUCUUUUUCAUUUUCUUGUAAUUAAUUUAUCUUAUUUUUUUCUUUUUCAUUUUCUACUUAUAAUUAGUAUUUUAGCAUAUUUUUUAAUUUGUAUAAGUUAUGUUAAUUGUUUAAUUAUCAGAAUAUAGAAGAUGACAUUUUACGGUCCUAAGGAUAUAGGUAUAUAUUUAAUUAAUUUUGAUGUUCAAUACAUAUCUUUCUAAACUAAUUAAUGUCAAGGUUUGUUACUCAUUACAUGUUUGAUUGAUUUAUAUAAUUGAGGAUGUACUUAUUAGCAAUAUUUAGCUUACAUUAUUUAAUAGAAAUCUCUGGUUCAUAUUCACUUUAUGAUUGUAUAAACAAAAUACAAAGGGUAAAAAAAUACGUACUGCUGAAAAAUUGUCAUAUUUUCUUUUUUUUUCUAUCUUUUAUGAGUAAUUUUCCUUCUUAUCUAUCAAAUGUACAGAUCAAGUGAUUUCUGAUAUAGGUUGAUCUUUUGAAGGUCACACAUCUCUACCUUUUUUAUUUUGUCACCCUAUUCAUCUGUGUUUCCUCUUAUUUUCAAUUUUAUUCUUGCAACACCAAUGAUUAUGACAGGGUUUUUCGUAUUGUUUUUAUGAGAUUGAGAUGUUUGUUAGGAUUAUGAGGAUCUCACAAUAAUACAGGUGGUGCUAAUGUAACAUUGGAAAAAUGAUUGAGUUGGUUUCCUUUAAUACAUACAGUCUCAUUUUCAUUUUCUUGUACGUAUUCUAUUUUCCUUUUUUCUUUUUCUUUUUCUUGUAAUUAUUCUUUUUUCUUUUUUCUUUUUCAUUUUCUAAUUAUAAUUAUUAUUUUAGCAUAUUUUUUAAUCUGUGUAACUUAUGUUAAUUGUUUAAUUAUCAGAAUAUAGAAGACGACAUUUUAUGUUCUUAAGGAUAUAAGUAUAUAUUUAAUUAAUUUUGAUGUUCAAUACAUAUCUUUCUAAACUAUUUAAUGUCAAUGUUUUUUACUCAUUACAUGUUUGAUUGAUUUAUAUAAAUGGGGAUGUACUUAAUGAAAAUAUUUAGCUUACAUUAUUUAAUAGAAAUCUUUGGUUCAUAUUCACUUUAUGAUUGUAUAAACAAAAUACCAAGGGUAAAAAAAUACGUAAUGCUGAAAAAUUGUCAUAUUAUCUUUUUUUUUCUAUCUUUUAUGAGUAUUUUUCAUUCUUAUCUAUCAAAUGUACAGAUCAUGUGAUUUCUGAUAUAGGUUGUUCUUUUGAAGGUUACACAUCUCUACCUCUUUUAUUUUGUCACCUUAUUCAUCUGUGUUUCCUCCUAUUUUCAAUUUUAUUCUUGCGUCACCAAUGAUUAUGAUAGGGUUUUUCGUAUUGUUUUGAUGAGAUUGAGAUGUUUGUUAGGAUUAUGAGGAUCUCACAAUAAUACAGGUGGUGCUAAUGUAACACAUUUUCGUAUUGUUUUGAUGAGAUUGAGAUGUUUGUUAGGAUUAUGAGGAUCUCACAAUAAUACAGGUGGUGCUAAUGUAACACUGGAAAAAUGAUUGAGUUGGUUUCCUUUAAUACAUACAGUCUCAUUUUUAUUUUCUUGUAAUUAUUCUAUUUUCCUUUUUUCUUUUUCAUUUUCUUGGAAUUAUUCUUUUUUCUUUUUUCUUUUUCAUUUACUACUUAUAAUUAGUAUUUUAGCAUAUUUUUUAAUCUGUGAAACUGAUGUUAAUUGUUUAAUUAUCAGAAUAUAGAAGAUGACAUUUUAUGUUCUAAAGGAUAUAAGUAUAUAUUUAAUUAAUUUUGAUGUUCAAUACAUAUCUUUUUAAACUAAUUAAUGUAAAGGUUUGUUACUCAUUACAUGUUUGAUUGAUUUAUAGAAUUGAGGAUGUACUUAAUACAAAUAUUUAGCUUAUAUUACUUAAUAGAAAUCUCUGGUUCGUAAUCAGUUUAUGAUUGUAUAAACAAAAUACAAAGGGUAAAAAAAUACGUACUGCUGAAAAAUAGUCAUAUUUUCCUUUUUUUUCUAUCUUUUAUGAGUAAUUUUCUUUCUUAUCUAUCAAAUGUACGGAUCAAGUGAUUUCUGAUAUAGGUUAAUCUUUUGAAGGUUACACAUCUCUAACUUAUUUUUUUUUUGUCACUCUAUUCAUCUGUGUUUCCUCUUAUUUUCAAUUUUAUUCUUGCAUCACCAAUGAUUAUGAUAGGGUUUUUCGUAUUGUUUUGAUGAGAUUGAGAUAUUUGUUAGGAUUAUGAGGAUCUCACAAUAAUAAUGUUGGUGCCAAUGUAACACUAGAAAAAUGAUUGGAUUGGUUUCCUUUAAUACAUACGGUCUCAUUUUCAUGGUCUUCUAAUUAUUCUAUUUUAUUUUUUUCUUCUUCAUUUUCUUGUAAUUAUUCUUUUUUUCUUUUUUUCUUUUUCUUUUUCUACUUAUAAUUAGUAUUUUAGCAUAUUUUUUAAUCAAUAUAACUUAUGUUAAUCGUUUAAUUAUCAAAAUAUAAAAGAUGACAUUUUAUGUGCUUUAGGAUAUAAGUAUAUAUUUAAUUAAUGUUGAUGUUCAAUACAUAUCUUUCUAAACUAGUUAAUGUCAAGGUUUGUUACUCAAUAAAUGUUUGAUUGAUUUAUAUAAUUGAGGAUUUACUUAAUAUAAUUAUUUCGGUUACAAUAUUUAAUAGAAAUCUCUGGUUCAUAAUUUUAUAGCUCACUUAUGAGCACCUAUAAAAAUCAUCUAUGUUGGAUAUCUCUUAUUUUCUUACUUUUUAUUUCUUGUAUCAUUUCAUGGAAUUAGUGAUAGAGCAGGUUUUUUCACUCAUUGUCCAUUGAUGUAGGACAUUUUAAGGACUGUUUGUUAGGAUUAUGAGGACUGCAUUCAACUUUAAUAAGAUUAUGGGUGCUACAUUGCUAUUCUCACGAAUACAUUAAUGGAUUGGGUUCUAAAGUUUUACCUAAUUAAUAUCAAUACAAUUAAACGGUUCUGCAUUUAAUAAUUAAUCGCGUACUUUUUGUAAUUAUUUCCACGUAUUUCAUUUCUUUUUUUCUGUUAUUCAUUUUUUAUAUGUAUAAUAUAUUCUUUUUUUCAAUUUUUCUUUUCAUUCUUUCAUACACAUUUAUAACUCUAAGUAUUUUUACGAUUGCUAUAUUUUUUAAGCUAUAUAACUUAGGGUUGAAUAGUUUCCAUAUUCAAGAAAUAAAUAGACAGAUAGAUUCAUUUCCAAAGAUAGCAUUUAAGGAUAUAAAGUAUUAAAUAUUGUAAUUAAUGUUAUGAUUUUUCUUAAUAUUAUAUACUUCUAACACUAAUCUUGUAUUAAGGUUUGUUACUCAAUAAAUGUUUGAUUGAUAAAUAAAUUGAUGAUAUCUAUCUGUAAUUAUACAAAUUAGGUUUGCUUACAUAUAAUAUAUUAAUAGAUAACUACUGGUUCAUAAUCCACUUUAUGAUUGUGAUAGAACAAGGGAACAUUUAUCUAUAGGGUAGAAAAAUACGUAGCUGCUCCAUUGAACCUAUAUUGUACAUAUUUUCCCUCUUUCUUUCUAGUCUUUUAUUAUGAGUAAUUUUUUUUCCUUAUCUCCAUCAAACGUACGGAACCUAAUGAGGAUUUUCUUGUUAUAUAGGGUUUAAUUACUUUUGCUAGGUUACACAUCUCUGAACUUUGUUCAUAAUAUUUAUGUCACUCAUAGGUUCAUCUAUGUUUCCUCUUUAUUUUACCAAUUUUAUUCUUGCCAUCACCAAUCAGAAUUUUAAAUAGGAAUCAGGUUGUUUUCAGAUAUUGUUGUGAUGAAGAUUGAGAUAGAAUUCUGUUAGGUAAAAUUAUGAGGAUCAAAUCACAAAUAAUAAAAUAAAGUUGGUGCCAAGUUUGUGACACAACCUAAAGAAUUUAAAUUUGAUUGGAUUGGUUUCCUUUAAAUUAUCAUAGAAGAUGAAUUUUUAUGCUUCUAUGUAGGAUAUAUAGUAUACCACACUAUUUAGAUUAAUCUUUGAUGUUCCAUCACUUUACACCUCACUCCAUUACUAAAUUAAUUAAUUUCAAAAGGUUUGUUUAACUCACUAAGUCUUCAUUGUACUUUGUAUUUGAUAAUAUUGAGGAUUAACUCUAUAUAUUAUGACCAUCUAUUUACGCCAUUAUCAAAUAUUUAAUAGAAUAUCCCCCUCCGCGCUCCUCAUAAAUCCUUCUUAUGAUUGAAUGAUAUUAACCAAAUACAAAUGGUAAAAAAAUACCGUACUGAACUGAAUAAAUUGUCCAUAUUUUCCUUUUUUUUUCUAUCUUGGUUAAUGAGUAAUGUUUGUUUUAUUCUUAUCUAUCAAAUGUACGCGAAUUCACUUUGAUUUCUGCUAUACGCUUCUAUCACCUUUUGAACGGUUAUAACAUUCUCUAAACUUGUUAUUUUGUCACUCUAUUCAUCUAUGUUUCUCUUAUUUUCAAUUUUAUUCUUGCAAUCACCAGGAUUUAUGAGUACGGUUUUGUUAACACAUAUUGGGAAAUAUUGAUGAGAUUAAGCCUGAUGUUGUUGGCAUUUGGAGGACUCACAAUAAUAAGUUGGUGCUAAUGUAACACUCAGAUCAAAUGGAUUGGGAUUAGUUUCCCUUUAAUUACAUCACGCAGUAUCAAAUUUAUAACAUGUCUUGUAAUUCCCUAAAUUCCAUAUACUUGAAGAUCGAGACUGUUUGCAUUUCCAUUUAUUUCUUUUCUAUCUUUCUAUUGUAAUAAUGCCAUUUUCUUUUUUUACUAAUUUUUCAUUCUUUUCUCUGGGAGCCUAGAGCCUCUGUAGUUAGAAUGGUAGCUAUUAAUUAAAGACCUAACCCUCUAUAUUUUUUUAUCAAACGUCUAUAUAACUAUUUUAACUUCGGCCUCACCGAUUUAAUUCAAUUAACAACCAUUCAUUUUUCAUUCACUACAGACCACUUAUGUAGAAGAUGCCAUAAUGGGUCUACUGAGGGGCGUCGCUCGUAAUAGUUCGCAACAUCAUAUAUCAUCUUUUUCAUAAAGGUGGAUUGUGAAUUCUUGAGUCUCACCAUUGGAUAGAAUUCUAUUGUAUGAUAAAUUAAUUGUUUGGGUCUUGAGGUAGAAUUCCAAUCGGUUACAUUCUUUCUAAGAGUAAAGCAUUCACUGUAAAUAGAAAUUUUAAUCGAGAAUUUUCUAUUAAGGUGAUUUUUGUUGGUGGGUUAUAUAGUUACUUCUUGAAUUUCAAGUAAAUAGAUUUUGUAUUGUGUAUAUGAAUAUUUUUCUUUUAGGAUUCGAAUAAUUGAUGAUUUAUUCGGCUUGCUUGAGAAUAUAUUGAUGAAAUAUUAGUGAUUCAUAAGCAUGGUUGAUAUUUUGCUGUGUCAGGAUAUUUGUAAUACGUUAGGUAACAGUCUCUGGUUCAUAAUCACUAUUCGGGAUUGAUUCAGUUAUAAUGGGUAUGAAUGGCCAAGGUUAAAUACAAGGGUACAGGGUAGAAUUUUAUAAUGAGCUGCUUGAUGAUUUUCUGGUGAUGAGCUGAUGAAGAUAUGAUAACUGACAGUCUGUGAUUUCAUUUCCCCAAGAAACGCUGUUAGAUCCGUUUGCCCUGGCUUUGAAUGUUCAAAUUCGUUGUUCCGCGGGAACCAUUAUGUCAUUGAUCACAAUUCAGCAUUCGGCCUGCUUUCUGCUCUUCAGACUGAUCUUUAUAGUAAUUUUUUUUCCUUAUCUCACUCACUUUUCAAAGUUAGUAUCGCAGGGUCGUUUUACACUUUUUUAAGCUGGGUGUGGCAUAUAUAUAACCAAGGCUUUUGCUCAAUUUGUUCAGAAUUUUACAAUUCAUUUUCAUUCUUUUUCGUUUGUUCAGAGCAUAGUUUUAUAUUUCUCGUGUUUCUUCAAAAAAAUCAUUCAAAUAAUUCAUGGAUGAUUCCAAUUGGGUGUGCGUUGUAAUUGUUAAGCAUUUACAUCUCCAGGUUUUUUAUCUAGCAUCUACGUUGUUUAUAGGUUUCUCGAUACUAUAAGUAUGUUAGCAGGAGUUUUUAUUUUGGGUUCUAUGUUAUGUAAUCUUUUGAUUCAUUGUGCUAUGAGCCCUUUUGCCUAGUUUUUGCCAUUUAAUCUUCAUUUAGAAUCUUUGAUGCCUGCUUCAAAAUGCUUGGAAAUUUUUAUAUGCAUCAUCGAUCUAGACUCUUUCCUGGUGAUUUUGGUAUGUGUGUUCUGUGGUUGCUGUUAUUUUUUGAGUUCCAUUGGUUGAGCAUUGUCAUGAACAUAGUAUCUUUUUUGGAUGUGUUUUACAUUUUGGCAUUGCCUUCCUGUGCAUCUUCCUAUUUUGCUAUUUAGGGGCAAUGUGCUUAUUGAACUUCGAAUUAUCGCAGCUAAGAUUUGUAUUGGAUUAUGUAGGAAUACUGAAUUAAAGAAUGUUGAGAAGGACAUGUCGAAAUUUUGUUGGAUUAUUUUUGUAAAGGCAUUUUCCUCAUUUGAUUGGCAUUGUAUUGUUAGUUUUGGGUCUCUGCUGUGAUGAGAACCAAUUGUUUGACUGAGUUGGAUUGCAGGGUCUAUUUGUGUUUUUAGAGUGGUUAUGGGUGUAAUUUACUCGGGUUUAAUUAAUUGGAGGUUGAGUUGAAAAGUAUUUGACCAUGUUUCAUAGUACAGGACAUAAUUGAAUGUGGACAUAUCUUAUGACAUUUGUCCCUUGGUCAUUGUCCUAUUAAUGUCAAAAUGGAUAUUGCUCUUCUGUUUUGAUUGAUGAAAUGAAUGCAAUGUUUGAUAGAAUAUGCCAUGUAUUAAUACUGAUUUCAAUCUGUCUGGAGCUUCUUGGGAAAAUUUUCAUUGGACGGGCUUCCCUUGGUUCCAAAAUGAGUCUUCUACAAUUUCGUUAUGUAUUAUAGAUAUGAUUCAUUAGGACAAUACUGUUUGUACAGAUCAUUGAAUUUUUUAAGGAAUUUAUUUAGAAUGUAUGUUUUGGGUUAUCUUUUAGGAUAUAAGUUGAUUUGAAUUUUAUGUGUAUCCUCACUAAUUUUAAUUUUGAUGUUCAACUGUUUGGUCCUUUGAGGUUCUAGAUACAUUGGCAUGGUUUGUUGCUUUUCCUUCCUUUUGAAAUGAUAAUUCUAGAUGAAUAGAAUAGUAAUGUUGGAAAAUUAAUUUCCACUUUGGAAGUUGGGAUUUUUUUUAAGUUGUUUUUGGAUUACCUUCUAGCGAUUUGGGGAUAAUUUUUCAACAUUUCGCUAGUUUGAAAUAUUUUGUCAACGCUCUUUUUGAUCCGCUUUGAUGUGCUUACUCUAGUGGUCUUGUUACUCAUUAUGUCAUAUUGAGAGGAUUACGUUAAUUUUAGGCUUUUAUCAGGAUUUGGAAAAGCAAAAUUGACUUUAAGUUAGCUUACAAUAUUUUAAUAGAAACGGCUGGUGGUCAUAGAUUCAUGCAAUGUUGAUCAUUGAGCUUGUUUUCGACUUUGUUUAUUGAGUUGAUACUACUAUUGUUUGUUUUUGUUAGGAAUGACUACACUACACUUUGGCUAUUGGAGCCUUUAUGCUUGCAACAUAGAUGAUGGGGUUGUUAUUAUGGGUAUAUCUUAAAUGUACGUACUGUUUGUGAUUUGCCUUUGUAUGAGACUCUCACCUGUAAUUUUUGAGCUUUGAGUUAUCAGGGGUAGGCAAAAAUUAUGUGUCAUAUGUGCUAUUUCGUCUUUCUUUUUGAUGAACUUUUUGGAUGCUAAUCUUUUGAUUGUCUUUAUGAUAAGGCAUGGCAGAUGAUCAGUGGCAUCUUUCUUCUCUUUUGCUAGAUUCGUAUCCGCUUAUUGUUACCUGGUCGCAAGAAUGUACGGGACACUUGAUAUGAAAGGUCUUCCUUUAAGGAUAGCAUUUGUUCGUUGAGCUUAUGUUUAUAUAGGGUUAUAUUUCCGCCAGCAAGAAUAGUUGAAGGUUACACAUCUUUAACUUUGUUUAUUUUGUCACUCUAUUCAUCUUGUUUCCUCUUAUUUUCAAUUUUAUUCUUGGCAUCACAAUGAUAUGAUAGGGUUUUUCGUAUUGUUUUGCUGAAGAUUGAGAUGUUUGUUAGGAUUAUGAGGAUCUCACAAUAAUAAAGGUGGUGCUAAUGUAACACUAGAAAAAUGAUUGGGUUGUUUCCUUUAAUACAUACGGUCUCAUUUCAUUGUCUUGUAAUUAUUCUAUUUUCUUUUUUUCUUUUCAUUUUUCUUGUAAUAUUCUUUUUUCUUUUUUCUUUUUCAUUUUCUACUUAUAAAAUUAGUAUUUUAGCAUAUUUUUUUAAGUCUAUAUAACUUAUGUUAAUCGUUUAAUUAUCAGAAUAUCAGAAGAUGACAUUUUAUGUCUUAGGAUAUAAGUAUAUAUUUAAUUAAUUUGAUGUUCAAUACAUCAUCUUUCUAAACUUAAUUAAUGUAAGGUUGUUACUGCAUUAAAUGUUUGAUUGAUUUAUAUAAUUGAUGAGUAUUAAUUAAUAUAAAUUUUUAGCUUACAAUAUUUAAUAGAAAUCUCUGGUUCAUAAUCACUUUAUGAUUGUAUAAACAAAUACAAAGGGUAAAAAAAAUACGUACUGCUGAAAAAUUGUCAUAUUUCCCUUUUUUCUUCUUCUUUAUGAGUAAAUUUUUCUUUUCUUAUCUAUAUCAAAUGUACGGAAAAUUGAUUUCUGAUAUAGGUUAAUCUUUUUGAAGGUUACACACAUCUCUAACUUGUUUGUAUUCUUGUCACUCUAUUCAUUCUGUCGUUUCCUCUCUUAUUUUCAAUUUUAUUCUUUGCAUCACCAAUGAUUAUGAUAGGUUUUUUCGUAUUGUUUUGAUGAGAUUGAGGAUGUUUGUUGUAGUGCAUUAUGAGGAUCUCACAAUAAUAAAGUUGGUGCAAAUGUAACACUAGAAAAAUAUUGGAUUGGUUUCCUUUAAUACAUACGCUCAGAUGUCUUCUUAUUCUUUAGUAUCUGCUUAUCAUUCUUUAAUUAUUUUUUUCAAUUUGUUACAUACUUUCCAUAUUUAUUAAUAAUCUAAUGUUAGAUUAAUUUUCAAGGUUUUGUAUACAUAUCGCUACCAUUAAUUGUUUGAUAUGAUUUUAUAUAAUUAGGUUUACUAUAAUAUAAAUAUUUAGCUUUCAAUAUUUAAUAGAACUCUGGGUUCAUAAUCUUACUGAUUGUAUUUAUGAAAACAAUACUAACAUUAAGGUAAAAAACAUACGUACACUCUGAAAAAUUGUCUUCUUUUUUUUCCACUUGUUUUCAUUCUUUCUAUGGUUUAUUUGUCCUAAUCAUAAAUGUACGGAGACUAAUUGAUUUCUGAUAUACGGUUAAUCUUUUGAAGGUUACACAUCUCUAACUUGUCUUAUUUUGUCACUCUAUAUCAUCUUGUUUUCUCUUAUUUCAAUUUAUUCUUGCAUCACCAAUGAUUAUGAUAAGGGUUUUAUUGCAAUAUGUUUUGAGUAGAUUUGAGGUAUUUGAUUAGAUGUGUAAGAUUGAUGGGUCUCACAAUAAUAAGUUGGUGCUACAAUCGUAAACUAGAAAAUAUUGGUUAGUUUUCCUUUAAUACAUACGGUCUCAUUUAUUGUUCUUGUAAUUAUUCUAUUUUUCUUUUUUUCUUUUUCAUUUUCUUGUAAUAUUCUUUUUUCUUUUUCUUUUUCAUUUUCUACUUAUAUAAUAAGUAUUUUAGCAUAUUUUUUAAGCUAUAUAACUUAUGUUAAUCGUUUAAAUUAUCAGAAUAUAGAAGAUGACAUUUUAUGUUCUUUAGGAUAUAAGUAUAUAUUUAAUUAAUUUUGAGUUUUCAAUACAUAUCUUUCUAAACUAAUUAAUGUAAGGUUUGUUACUCUUAUAACAUGUUUGAUUGAUUUAUAUAAUUGAGGAUUUAUUAAUAUAUAAUUUUUAGCUUACAAUAUUUAAUAGAAAUCUCUGGUUCAAUAAUACUUUAUGAAUUGUAUAAAAAACAUACAAGGGAAAAAAACAUACGUACUGCUGAAAAAAUUGAAUCAUAUUUUCCUUUUUUUCUAUCUUUUAUGAGUAAUUUCUUUUCUUAUCUAUCAAAUGUACGGAACAAUUGAUUUCUGAUAAUAGGUUAAUCUUUUGAAGGUAUACACUCUCUAACUUGUUUUAUUUUGUCACUCUAUUCAUCUGUGUUUCCUCUUAUUUCAAUUUUAUUCUUGCAUCACCAAUGAUUAUGAUAGGUUUUUCGUAUUGUUUUGAUGAGAUUGAGAUGUUGUUAGGAUAUAUGAGGAUCUCACAAUAAAUAACGUUGGUGCUAAUGUACACUAGAAAAGAAUUGGUGUGGUUUCCUUUAAUACAUACGGUCUCAUUUUACUGUAUCUCUCUACUUAUUAUUUAAGUAUAAUUUUAAUUAUAUUUUAUUUCAUAAUUUUUUCAUGUUCUUUCUAUUAAUUAAUUUCAAGUUUGUUAUUAUUACAUAAAAUAACAACAUUAUUAAUGUUUGAUUUCGAAGUAUAAUAUUUUAUCUGAGGAUUAUACAGUUAAUGAUAAUAAUGGAGGUCUCUUGUAAGAUUUAUAUAUUAUGUAUAUAUAGAAACCAGAGGUAUAUAUCACUUUAUGGAUUGUAUAGAGACGAAAAAUACAAAGGGUAAAAAAACGUACUGCUGAAAAAUUGUCAUAUUUUCCUUUUUUUUUCUAUCUUUAUGAUGUAAUCUUUUUCUUAUCUAUCAAAUGUACAGGAAACAAUUGAUUUCUGAUAUAGGUUAAUCUUUUGACAGGUUACACAUCUCUAACUUUUUAUUUGUCACUUCUAUUCAUUCUUGUUUAUUCGCUCUUGAUAUUUCUAAUUUUAUUUUCUUGCAUCACCAAUGAUUAUGAUAGGGUUUUCGUAUUGUUUUUGAUGAGAUUAACGGAGAUUUGUUAGGCAUCAUGAAGGAUCUCACAAUAAUAAAGUUGGUGCUAAUGUAAACUCGAGAAAAAUGAUUGGGUUAUGGUUUCCUUUAAUACUACGGUCUCAUUUUCAUUGUCUUGUAAAUUUAUUCUAUUUUCUUUUUCUUUUCAUUUUCUUGUAAUAAUUCUUUUUUCUUUUUUCUUUUUCAUUUUCUACUUAUAAUUUAGUAUUAUUUUACGCAUAGUUUUUUAAGCCUAUAUAACUUAUGUUAAUUCGUUUAAUUAUCAGAACAGUAGAUAGACAUUUUUAUGUGCCUUUUAGGAUAUAAGUAUAUAUUUAAUUAAUUUUGAUAGUUCAUACAUAUCUUCUAAACUAAUUAAUUGUAAGCGUUUGUUACUCAAUAAAUGUUUGAUUAUCGUUAUAAAUACUUAAUUAAUAUUAGUAACUUAUUCUCUAUUUGCUUAAUAUUUAAAUAGAAUCUCUGGUUCAUAAUCACUUUAUGAUUGUAAAUAAACAAAAUACAAAGGGUACAAAAAAUACGUCAUGCUCAAAAAUUGUCAAUAUUUUCCUUUUUUUCUAUCUUUUAUGAGUAAUUUUCUUCUUAUCUUCAAAUGUACGGAACCAAUUGAUUUCUGAUAUAGGUUAACAUAACUUUUGAAUGGUUACCAUCUCUAACUGGUUUAUUUGUCAUUAUUCUAUCAUUGUGUUUCUUUCUUAUUUUCAAUUUUAUAUCUUGUCACGCUCACCAGAUUGAUAUCAUGAUAGGGUAUCUUCGUACUUGUUUUGAUGAAUUGAGAUUGUUUCUUAGAUUAUGACGUGAUCUCAGCAUACUAUAAGAGUUGGUGUCUUAAGUAAUCUAACGAGAAUAAUGCACUUGGUUGGUUCCUUUAAUACAUAAGAAGAUAAGAUAUUUUGAUGUUCUUUAAGGAUUAUAAGUUUAUAAAUAGUUAUUAAUUAAUUUUUGAUGCUUCAAUAAUAUCUUUCUACAAUUAAUCUCAAUUUCAAGCCGUUCGUGCCUAUCACUAAUGUUUGAUGAUUAUCAAUAAUUGAGGAUUUACUUAAUAUAAUAUUUACAUUACAUUUUCUACAUAGAAACCCGGCGUCUUAUAAUUACUGUUUAUUGAUGGUGUUUUAUAAAACAAUUAUACAAAGGGUUUACAAAAUUUAACUCAGUACUGCUGAAAAAUUGGUCAAUAUUUUUCGACCUGGUUUUCUUUUCUUUUCUUAUUCUGGUUUCAUGAGGAUUUUCUAUCUGUUUUAUCAAAUGUAACAGAAAAUGGAUUUUGUUAUUUACCUUGUUAGUGCUUUGUUUUCAGAGCCCUCCAACGGUCACUUCUAGUGUGGUUCCCUUCUUUUUUGUGUGUGUUACCACUACAUCCUGAUCUUCGUCAAAGAUACGUAUCAUAUGCACUCCCUACACAUUUUGGUUUCCUUUCCUUCACGUAACUGACUCUGAUGUCUAUUGGCUGGUAGACUAGUAGCCGGAUGGCGAUAUCCUGCCAUCAGUCUGGUUUGUUUUUCCUGGUGUCUCUUUCACCAGUUUGUUAGUGUUUAGCAUGUUUUUAGCAACAUGCCUUCUAUUGUGCGUUGGAUCCCUGAGUACGACGGAUCUAGGGGUGUUACCUUCUUGCAUAACACUCCGAUCCAAUUCUCUUUGGUCCGCAGACAUCUUUCCAGGUUUACGAGGCGUUCCUUUCCCUCUUGUGGAUCAUACACUGGGCGGCUUGUUUGUUCUUUCUUUCCCGUGUUUCGCGUAAUGCACACUGGCACUCUGUGGGAAUUGGAGAAGUUAGCGAUCUCUGCUGGUCCCAUCUUCCCUAAGUGAUUCGCUAGCGUUCUCUACGUGUAGCCUGGGGCUUUGGUUGCUAUGCUGUUAUUUAUGCAUUCAUUUCGAUUUACUGUUUCAUUUAAUGUGUGCAUAAUGUGGCAUUCAUUCAUAUUUCAUGCUGUUUGUCUGGUUUCUCUGGUGUGGUGGGGGUGUACGGAGUAUCGAGGUAAAGGCGCAAACCAGGCUAUGAGUGAUUCUAUGAAACCUAGGAAUAGCGUGAUUCUGGGAUGCGGGUUGCUAUGCGCCACUUAGCGGAACAUCGAUAUCACGCAGGCAGUUCGACCUGGUUUCAUCGUAGCAUCUUCGGGUGUGUAUUUUCAGAGAUGGUAUUCUGGCGAAGGUUAUUAUGUUGCGUUUUCGAGCUUACCUCUACUCUGACGGACACUCCGUCUGAGCGAGGAUGGAGAUUGAAAUUAUGAGGUACUGUUGGGCUGAUGUUGUUGGUGACUUGGGUGAUUCUUAGGUACGAUGGACUGUGAAUUAUGGACAUUAUUUCUGGGAGCGGAGUUCUGUCCAUGGGUUUUAAUAGGGUUACGUUUAUUUCGGAUCGCCCGGUGAAUGUGAGAGUACUGUUCAGGAGGAUUGGCUGUCAUCCGUUCAGUGGAUGUUUCUAUGAUGAUGAUGAUGUAAUUCCGGUUCCGUUUUUUCGGCACUCCCCAAGUCGAUUUAUGGUGACUCAGUGACUGUCUGGUUAGAGACUGUCUCAGAUGAUUUGUGGCACAGUGACUGGCAUUCAUGCAUUCAUCAUCCCAUUUCGGCAUUCAUUGCUGCAUUCACCCAAUGAUAUCCUACUCAGGUCCUUGGAUUAAGAUUCUGGUUGAGAACACUCAGAGUGUAGAAUUGUUAUUGAAUUAUCUGUUCGAUGACGAAGAUCAAAGACAGAUAUCCUGGUACGGGUAGACAUUGCAUGUGUGAGUCAUAUAACCAUUUGCUGUUUUGUAGGGUGUUCAACCGGUGCGAUAGCUCGUUUGCUCAUGAUAUCGCUGUAUGAAGGCAAACAAAUCAAAACUGAUGGAUCUUCCCAAUCAGACAUCGCUGAACUGAAAGAAUGGUAGNUUUGAUGUUCAAUACAUAUCUUUCUAAACUAAUUAAUGAUAAGGUUUGUUACUCAAUAAAUGUUUGAUUGAUUUAUAUAAUUGAUGAUUUACUUAAUAUAAUUAUUUUGCUUACAAUAUUUAAUAGAAAUCUCUGGUUCAUAAUCACUUUAUUAUUGUAUAAACAAAAUACAAAGGGUAAAAAAAUACGUACUGCUGAAAAAUUGUCAUAUUUUCCUUUUUUUUCUAUCUUUUAUGAGUAAUUUUCUUUCUUAUCUAUCAAAUGUACGGAACAAUUGAUUUUUGAUAUAGGUUAAUCUUUUGAAGGUUACACAUCUCUAACUUGUUUAUUUUGUCACUCUAUUCAUCUGUGUUUCCUCUUAUUUUCCAUUUUAUUCUUGCAUCACCAACGAUUAUGAUAGGGUUUUUCGUAUUGUUUUGAUGAGAUUGAGAUGUUUGUUAGGAUUAUGAGGAUCACACAAUAAUAAAGUUGGUGCUAAUGUAACACUAGAAAAAUGAUUGGGUUGGUUUCGUUAAUACAUACGGUCUCAUUUGCAUUGUCUUGUUAUUAUUCUUUUUUCUUUUUUUCUUUUUCAUUUUCUGGUAAUUAUUCUUUUUUCCUUUUUUCUUUUUCAUUUUCUACUUAUAUUUAGUAUUUUAGCAUAUAUUUUAAGCUAUAUAACUUAUGUUAAUCGUUUAAUUAUCAGAAUAUAGAAGAUGACAUUUUAUGUUCUUUAGGAUAUAAGUAUAUAUUUAAUUAAUUUUGAUGUUCAAUACAUAUCUUUCUAAACUAAUUAAUGUCAAGGUUUGUUACUCAAUAAAUGUUUGAUUGAUUUAUAUAAUUGAGGAUUUACUUAAUAUAAUUAUUUCGCUUACAAUAUUUAAUAGAAAUCUCUGGUUCAUAAUCACUUUAUGAUUGUAUAAACAAAAUACAAAGGGUAAAAAAAUACGUACUGCUGAAAAAUUGUCAUAUUUUCCUUUUUUUUCUAUCUUUUAUGAGUAAUUUUCUUUCUUAUCUAUCAAAUGUACGGAACAAUUGAUUUCUGAUAUAGGUUAAUCUUUUGAAGGUUACACAUCUCUAACUUGUUUAUUUUGUCACUCUAUUCAUCUGUGUUUCCUCUUAUUUUCAAUUUUAUUCUUGCAUCACCAAUGAUUAUGAUAGGGUUUUUCGUAUUGUUUUGAUGAGAUUGAGGUGUUUGUUAGGAUUAUGAGGAUCUCACAAUAAUAAAGUUGGUGCAAAUGUAACACUAGAUAAUUGAUUGGGUUGCUUUCAUUUAAUACAUACGGUCUCAUUUUCAUUGUCUUGUAAUUAUUCUUUUUCCUUUUUUUCUUUUUCAUUUUCUUGUAAUUAUUCUUUUUUCUUUUUUUCUUUUUCAUUUUCUACUUAUAAUUAGUAUUUUAGCAUAUUUUUUAAUCUAUAUAACUUAUGUUAAUCGUUUAAUUAUCAUAAUAUAGAACAUGACAUUUUAUGUUCUUUAGGAUAUAAGUAUAUAUUUAAUUAAUUUUGAUGUUCAAUACAUAUCUUUCAAAAUUAAUUAAUGUCAUGGUUUGUUACUCAUUAAAUGUUUGAAUGAUUUAUAUAAUUGAGGAUUUACUUAAUAUAAAUAUUUAGCUUGCAAUAUUUAAUAGAAAUCUCUGGUACAUAACCACUUUAUGAUUGUAUAAACAAAAUACAAAGGGUAAAAAAAUACGUACUGCUGAAAAAUUGUCAUAUUUUCCUUUUUUUUCUAUCUUUUAUGAGUAAUUUUCUUUCUUAUCUAUCAAAUGUACGGAACAAUUGAUUUCUGAUAUAGGUUAAUCUUUUGAAGGUUACACAUCUCUAACUUGUUUAUUUUGUCACUCUAUUCAUCUGUGUUUCCUCUUAUUUUCAAUUUUAUUCUUGCAUCACCAAUGAUUAUGAUAGGGUUUUUCGUAUUGUUUUGAUGAGAUUGAGAUGUUUGUUAGGAUUAUGAGGAUCUCACAAUAAUAAAGUUGGUGCUAAUGUAACACUAGAAAAAUGAUUGGGUUGGUUUCCUUUAAUACAUACGGUCUCAUUUUCAUUGUCUUGUAAUUAUUCUAUUUUCUUUUUUUCUUUUUCAUUUUCUUGUAAUUAUUCUUUUUUCUUUUUUUCUUUUUCAUUUUCUACUUAUAAUUAGUAUUUUAGCAUAUUUUUUAAUCUAUAUAACUUAUGUUAAUCGUUUAAUUAUCAGAAUAUAGAAGAUGACAUUUUAUGUUCUUUAGGAUAUAAGUAUAUAUUUAAUUAAUUUUGAUGUUCAAUACAUAUCUUUCUAAACUAAUUAAUGUCAAGGUUUGUUACUCAUUACAUGUUUGAUUGAUUUAUAUAAUUGAGGAUGUACUUAAUAUAAAUAUUUACUUUACAAUACUUAAUAGAAAACUCUGGUUCAUAAUCACUUUAUGAUUGUAUAAACAAAAUAAAAAGGGUAAAAAAAUACGUACUGCUGAAAAAUUGUCAUAUUUUCCUUUUUUUUCUAUCUUUUAUGAGUAAUUUUCUUUCUUAUCUAUCAAAUGUACAGAUCAAGUGAUUUCUGAUAUAGGUUGAUCUUUUGAAGGUUACACAUCUCUAACUUGUUUAUUUUGUCACUCUAUUCAUCUGUGUUUCCUCUUAUUUUCAAUUUUAUUCUUGCAUCACCAAUGAUUAUGAUAGGGUUUUUCGUAUUGUUUUGAUGAGAUUGAGAUGUUUGUUAGGAUUAUGAGGAUCUCACAAUAAUAAAGUUGGUGCUAAUGUAACACUAGAAAAAUGAUUGGGUUGGUUUCCUUUAAUACAUACGGUCUCAUUUUCAUUGUCUUGUAAUUAUUCUAUUUUCUUUUUUUCUUUUUCAUUUUCUUGUAAUUAUUCUUUUUUCUUUUUUUCUUUUUCAUUUUCUACUUAUAAUUAGUAUUUUAGCAUAUUUUUUAAUCUAUAUAACUUAUGUUAAUUGUUUAAUUAUCAGAAUAUAGAAGAUGACAUUUUAUGUUCUUUAGGAUAUAAGUAUAUAUUUAAUUAAUUUUGAUGUUCAAUACAUAUCUUUCUAAACUAAUUAAUGUCAAGGUUUGUUACUCAUUACAUGUUUGAUUGAUUUAUAUAAUUGAGGAUGUACUUAAUAUAAAUAUUUAGCUUACAUUAUUUAAUAGAAAUCUCUGGUUCAUAAUCACUUUAUGAUUGUAUAAACAAAAUACAAAGGGUAAAAAAAUACGUACUGCUGAAAAAUUGUCAUAUUUUCCUUUUUUUUCUAUCUUUUAUGAGUAAUUUUCUUUCUUAUCUAUCAAAUGUACAGAUCAAGUGAUUUCUGAUAUAGGUUGAUCUUUUGAAGGUUACACAUCUCUAACUUGUUUAUUUUGUCACUCUAUUCAUCUGUGUUUCCUCUUAUUUUCAAUUUUAUUCUUGCAUCACCAAUGAUUAUGAUAGGGUUUUUCGUAUUGUUUUGAUGAGAUUGAGAUGUUUGUUAGGAUUAUGAGGAUCUCACAAUAAUAAAGUUGGUGCUAAUGUAACACUAGAAAAAUGAUUGGGUUGGUUUCCUUUAAUACAUACGGUCUCAUUUUCAUUGUCUUGUAAUUAUUCUAUUUUCUUUUUUUCUUUUUCAUUUUCUUGUAAUUAUUCUUUUUUCUUUUUUUCUUUUUCAUUUUCUACUUAUAAUUAGUAUUUUAGCAUAUUUUUUAAUCUAUAUAACUUAUGUUAAUUGUUUAAUUAUCAGAAUAUAGAAGAUGACAUUUUAUGUUCUUUAGGAUAUAAGUAUAUAUUUAAUUAAUUUUGAUGUUCAAUACAUAUCUUUCUAAACUAAUUAAUGUCAAGGUUUGUUACUCAUUACAUGUUUGAUUGAUUUAUAUAAUUGAGGAUGUACUUAAUAUAAAUAUUUAGCUUACAUUAUUUAAUAGAAAUCUCUGGUUCAUAAUCACUUUAUGAUUGUAUAAACAAAAUACAAAGGGUAAAAAAAUACGUACUGCUGAAAAAUUGUCAUAUUUUCCUUUUUUUUCUAUCUUUUAUGAGUAAUUUUCUUUCUUAUCUAUCAAAUGUACAGAUCAAGUGAUUUCUGAUAUAGGUUGAUCUUUUGAAGGUUACACAUCUCUAACUUGUUUAUUUUGUCACUCUAUUCAUCUGUGUUUCCUCUUAUUUUCAAUUUUAUUCUUGCAUCACCAAUGAUUAUGAUAGGGUUUUUCGUAUUGUUUUGAUGAGAUUGAGAUGUUUGUUAGGAUUAUGAGGAUCUCACAAUAAUAAAGUUGGUGCUAAUGUAACACUAGAAAAAUGAUUGGGUUGGUUUCCUUUAAUACAUACGGUCUCAUUUUCAUUGUCUUGUAAUUAUUCUAUUUUCUUUUUUUCUUUUUCAUUUUCUUGUAAUUAUUCUUUUUUCUUUUUUUCUUUUUCAUUUUCUACUUAUAAUUAGUAUUUUAGCAUAUUUUUUAAUCUAUAUAACUUAUGUUAAUUGUUUAAUUAUCAGAAUAUAGAAGAUGACAUUUUAUGUUCUUUAGGAUAUAAGUAUAUAUUUAAUUAAUUUUGAUGUUCAAUACAUAUCUUUCUAAACUAAUUAAUGUCAAGGUUUGUUACUCAUUACAUGUUUGAUUGAUUUAUAUAAUUGAGGAUGUACUUAAUAUAAAUAUUUAGCUUACAUUAUUUAAUAGAAAUCUCUGGUUCAUAAUCACUUUAUGAUUGUAUAAACAAAAUACAAAGGGUAAAAAAAUACGUACUGCUGAAAAAUUGUCAUAUUUUCCUUUUUUUUCUAUCUUUUAUGAGUAAUUUUCUUUCUUAUCUAUCAAAUGUACAGAUCAAGUGAUUUCUGAUAUAGGUUGAUCUUUUGAAGGUUACACAUCUCUAACUUGUUUAUUUUGUCACUCUAUUCAUCUGUGUUUCCUCUUAUUUUCAAUUUUAUUCUUGCAUCACCAAUGAUUAUGAUAGGGUUUUUCGUAUUGUUUUGAUGAGAUUGAGAUGUUUGUUAGGAUUAUGAGGAUCUCACAAUAAUAAAGUUGGUGCUAAUGUAACACUAGAAAAAUGAUUGGGUUGGUUUCCUUUAAUACAUACGGUCUCAUUUUCAUUGUCUUGUAAUUAUUCUAUUUUCUUUUUUUCUUUUUCAUUUUCUUGUAAUUAUUCUUUUUUCUUUUUUUCUUUUUCAUUUUCUACUUAUAAUUAGUAUUUUAGCAUAUUUUUUAAUCUAUAUAACUUAUGUUAAUUGUUUAAUUAUCAGAAUAUAGAAGAUGACAUUUUAUGUUCUUUAGGAUAUAAGUAUAUAUUUAAUUAAUUUUGAUGUUCAAUACAUAUCUUUCUAAAUUAAUAAAUGUCAUGGUUUGUUACUCAUUAAAUGUUUGAAUGAUUUAUAUAAUUGAGGAUUUACUUAAUAUAAAUAUUUAGCUUGCAAUAUUUAAUAGAAAUCUCUGGUACAUAACCACUUUAUGAUUGUAUAAACAAAAUAAGAAGGGUAAAAAAAUACGUACUGCUGAAAAAUUGUCAUAUUUUCCUUUUUUUUCUAUCUUUUAUGAGUAAUUUUCUAUCUUAUCUUUCAAAUGUACAGAAUAAUUGAUUUCUGAUAUAGGUUAAUCUUUUGAAGGUUACACAUCUCUAACUUGCUUAUUUUGUCACUCUAUUCAUCUGUGUUUCCUCUUAUUGUCAAUUUUAUUCUUGCAUCACCAAUGAUUAUGAUAGUGUUUUUCGUAUUGUUUUGAUGAGAUUGAGAUGUUUGUUAGGAUUAUGAGGAUCUCACAAUAAUAAAGUUGGUGCUAAUGUAACACUAGAAAAAUGAUUGGGUU
rnacentral:lncRNA from 1 species